GGCUACCACAUCUAAGGAAGGCAGCAGGCGCGUAAAUUACCCAAUCCCGAUUCGGGGAGGUAGUGACAAGAAAUAGCAAACUGGAUGAAUUUUCAUCACAGUAUUGCAAUGAGAACAAUGUAAAUGCUUUAUCGAUUAACAAUUGGAGGGCAAGUCUGGUGCCAGCAGCCGCGGUAAUUCCAGCUCCAAUAGCGUAUAUUAAAGUUGUUGCAGUUAAAAAGCUCGUAGUUGAACUUCUGUACAUUCCCAGUUCUGGCUUCGGUCAAGCUGUGGAGUGUGCAUCCGCUUGCAAACUUAGACCGGCCUUCACUGGUCGACUAAGGGAGUAAGCCCUUUACUUUGAAAAAAUUAGAGUGUUUCAGGCAGGCAAUGGCUCGAAUACAUUAGCAUGGAAUAAUGGAAUAGGACUUUUGUCCAUUUGGUUGGUUAUUGGACAUAAGUAAUGAUUAAAAGGGACAGUUGGGGGCAUUAGUACUUAAUUGUCAGAGGUGAAAUUCUUGGAUUUAUUAAAGACUAACUUAUGCGAAAGCAUUUGCCAAGGAUGUUU
rnacentral:rRNA from 1 species